UUAUCGUCAGGAGGUUAAUCCUUACCUGUUCCUCCUCUCGGAGGGCAGAUAGAAAAUGAUGAUUGGAGCUUGCAUGAUCUGCUGAUUAGCAUUUCCGUGUAAUCAGGACCUGACAACAUCCUGAUUGCUCCUAUCUGAUUCUCUGACGAUCAUAUUUAUUUCGCAUGUACUGACUGAUAGAAUUUAGGAAUUUUGUCCUGUGCUCCUGAAAUUUCUCCUAACACUGGUCAGAGCCAUGACUUUAAGGUGCUUUUAGUAAUUGUGUAUAUGACUGACUGAUUGCUCAGACCUUAUUUCUAUGACAACAAGUGCCUUGCUGCUGAUUGUUUGCCCAGCUUCUAGAAAGCACUCUAGGCUCGGUGUGGGGAAAGCAACCUUGGCCCCUCCUCAUGCUUACCAGGAGAUCCUUUCUGAUGAGGCCUUAACCCUUAUGACCUAAAGCGUCUCUUGCCUUCAUCCCCACAUUUCAAUUCAAUGACCUCCUUACCGUAGGCAAAGCCCUAUUAACAAUACUGAGAAAAUAGAUGUGAUAUGACCUAUACUCAGCUUUGGGCAUAUAGAGACAUUUCCCAGCACUCCCAGACUUGUUUAAUCCUGUAAAUUGUGGUACAUGCUACCUCCCCUUCACCCCCCAAAAAAGAAAGAUUUUAGGAGUUUAGUAGCAAAGCUUGAAGUUGUAACUUGAGAGCCACCAAAAUGUUACAUAUGUCUCAGCUAUUGCUCAGAAACUUAACUACAGCUCUGUGAGAAGCCCACACCCACACCCUUGCAUGUGUCUUACUGAACUUGGAAAAAAUUACUUUUUCCGGGAGCUUUACUGACAGGUUGCCAAACAUAACUCUUAUUUAAAUUAAGCAGUGUGAACUUGCGAUUAAGCAGGUUAUAUUUACACUGGAGACACAGCUAGCUCACCAGUGAGUGUAUACUUGCUGUGCCUUGAGGCCCUCGGUGAAAUCCUCAGCAUUAAAAACUUAAAGAAGCCAGAACCGGUGAUCAUGUCCACAAUCUCAGCACUCAGCAUGCAGAGGCAGGAGCGCCACCCACAAGUGAAUUCCACCCAGCCAGGGCUGCAGAGUAAGACCCUUUUCCCCCAACAAAGCAAGAGGACCUUGCUGCCCCUUGUAAGGAUGGACAAAUUGGCCCAGCUCUUGAGGUCCCCGCUGCAUUCCUCCAGCAUCAAUGCUGUGAAGAGGGCGGUAGUUGAGCAGCUCAGGAUGGAGGCUGAGCCCAACCUGAGAAAUUCCCCAAGCAGCUGCAGGCUUGAAGCAGUUCUGUCAGCCGAACGCUGAGCACUAUCCUCUGUUAACCGAAUUGUCAAGUACAGAUCCCUUUGACCCCAGAACAUCUGCUCCUUUUUGUAGGCAAAUCUCUCAAAGCUUUCUCAAAACACUUUUAUAAGCAGUGAAUUUAAGAGAGCUGAGUGCGAAGCCUGUACAAAGUUUUCUUAUAACUGUCUCCUGGUUGUCAGUCCAUCUCAUCUACCUCGGAAAUGUCACUGGCUUCUGUUUCCCAAGGUUAUAUGUACACGGGCUGUAUGGCUUUAUAUACACAUACAGGCUCACUUCAGCAGCACAGAUACCAAAACUGGAGGACACAGAGGGUUCCGGUAGCCUCUGUGCAAGGGCAAUACAUUCCUCAAGCAUUCCUUACCUUUCAGUGACAUGUUCCUGUAAUUUAAAGACACUACAUACACAUGUGGUGGGAAGGUAGAUGUCUAAAACUUGGACAAUUAAAAAUAUCACAAUUAGGGGUUGGGGAUUUAGCUCAGUGGUAGAGCGCUUGCCUAGCAAGCGCAAGGCCCUGGGUCCGGUCCCCAGCUCCGAAAAAAAAGAAAAAGAAAAAGAAAAAGAAAAAAACCACAAUUAAACAUGAGCUGGCUCCCCUAAAAAAAUAAAAUAAGUAAAAAAUUUAAAAAGGUAAUAGAAGUCUGGAAGGAUAUCGCACAUCUUUAAUCCCAGUAUGGCUCUUUUUCAAAAAGAGAAAAGAAAGGAAGAAAGAAAGAGAAGAUCAGGCAAAGGUUACAUCAGUGUGGAUUAGUCCUAAGAUUGUUGGAACUGUGUUACAUUGAAAUCAGCAUAAUCCAUUCAACAAGAAGUCAUUCAGGUAACCCAGAAACCUCUACCUUCAUGGUUUGUGUCUUAUUCAUACAAAUACACAAAAGUGGCUAAUAAUUUCAUAGAACUUUUUGUUCUGUUUUUCAAGACAGGGAUUCGCUGUGUAAUCUUGGCUGUCCUGGAGCUAGUUCUAUAGACCAGAGUGGCCUCAAACUUACAGAAACCCACCUGCCUCUGCCUCACAAGUGCUGAGGUUAAAGAUGUGUGCCAAAAAUCAUCACAGAAUUUCAUAGAAUUUUAAAGAGAUUUGCCACACUCAGGAGGCAGAGGCAGGUGGAUCUUUGAAUUGGAGGCCAGCCUGUUCUACAGCAUGGCCAGUCUAGGAUAGCUAGGACUGCACAGUGAAACAAAAACAUAGAAUUUACACUAAAGAAUCUUAUAGAAGGCUGGAGAGAUAGUUCAAUGGUUAUGAGGAUCCAGGUUCAAAUCCCAGCACCUACACGGCAGCUUACUCCUGUUCCAGGGGAUCCAAUGCCCUGUUCUGUUCACCAUGACACUUGGCACUUACUGGGAGCACAGAUAUGCAUUCAGGCAAAUAACUCAUACAUGUAAAAUAAUAAAAAUAAAAUAAGAAUAUUGUAGGGUUGGAGUUAUAGCUUAGCUAUAGUCGUUUAACUAGCAUGACCAUAGGGUUGCUCCCGGGCACUGCCGCCCAUAGGAAGAAUAUACUAUUAUUUGUAUUGUGCACUAAAAUAUAUAAUAAACUUAUAUACAUAAGCGUGUACUUUCCAGGAGGGGUACCUGUAACCAUUCCGAGAAAAUUCCCAUUACCGACCACUUUUUGUACCCAAACCCAGAGUCACUUGUGUGGCUUUAGCUCUCUUCUUGGCUUGUUUGAUUACUGUCUCCUUGUCCUCUUCUUCCUCUCCUUGUCCUCUUCUUCCUCUUCCUCCUCCUUUUCCUCCUCUGGCAGGACUGAGGAUCGAACUCAAGACUUCAUAGCAUUUCCAGUCCCACUACCACCAGCAGCCCACCCCUUCUUUUCUUUUUGCUUUAAUACAAGAUCUCAUGUAUCCCGAACUGCCUGAUCUAGCUGUAUAGCGGAGAUGACUUUGAACAUCUGAUCCUCCAAUCUCUGACUCCCAAGCAUUGGAGUUAUGUGGAGGAUUGUUUAACCACCCUCAGCUUUUGUGGUGUUGGGGAUGAAACUUAAGGUCAAGUGCAUACUAGGCAAGCAUUCUCCCAACUGAAGUGUAUUCUUAGCCUCCCACCCCCAGUCACCUCUGUAGUCCUCAAACACCAACUAGAUGCUUUUGUUUUUCCUAUAACUGUGGAGCAGCAGUUCUGAACCCAGACAUUGCCCUGCCACCAAAAGUCAGUCACCCUCCUUCUGCCUCAGCCCCCUCAUUUAUACUUGCAAACAUCAGCUAUCUACAGCUCAACACCAGAGGACCUACCAGUUAGCAUCUGACAAAGACUUUCAUUUGCUGUGACGUUAGUGACUUUCUACCUGAGGACUACUUGUCAGGAUCUCUCUGUUAAGGAUCGAUGGCUGUCCCAGAACUUACUAUAUAGACUGGGCUGGCCUUGAACUCAACAGCUCUGCUGGCUUCUGCCUCCUGCUUGCUAGACUAAAGAUGUGUGCCAGCAUGCCUAGCUAUAGACCUCAGGGCACUCAAAAGCGGCUCUAAGGCUCGAGUCCUGAGGGUUCUCUCUCCUGCCAUUUUAUUCUAGAUCUGUAGUUGUCUGGCACCUUCAGUUCGGGUGUUAAGUCUGUUGUGGGUGUGUUUCCUGCGAGGCUGGGGGUUGGGCAUCACGCAGCUUGAGAAGCAGCUGUCUGGCUUCUGUUGAACUUGCUACUUCUCAGUAAUAAAUACUUUAUGGGGUGUGGAAGAGUGCUACAGCCACUUAUGAAAGGGCCAAACUGGUUAAUGUCAGCUCACAGACACUCUGGUGGGAUUUUAAGGAAGACUGAGAUGGUCCUCGUGGGGAGGGGGUAGAGGGACCAGAAUCCCAGCUCUCUGACAUCUCCUUAGGACCUUUGCCAGUGAGUUGACUUGGAUCAUGGGGCAUGUGCUGUUUUCCCCUGUUCAGCAUCCAUCCUUGUCCUAGUAAGAGGCUGGCACACCCCCAUCUCCUCAUUUUCUUUUUUCCUCAAGGGUAGCCAGACAGUCUAAACCUGGCCAAUAACAGCAUCCUAUCUUCCCUGCUCCAGUGAUUAAUUCAACCAUAAACCUUGGCAAGCCAGGACUUGUGCUGCAUAUUUGGGAAAGAGAAACUUAGGCUCUGUCUAAGGGUUUUACUGUUGUGAAGAGACACCAUGACCACGGGCAACUCUUAAAAAGGAAAACAUUUCCUUCUUUUCCGGUUCCCGCAGCCGCAGCCCUGAGCAGCAAAGUUUCACGCGACACCCUCUACGAGGCGGUGCGGGAAGUCCUGCACGGGAACCAGCGUAAGCGCCGCAAGUUUCUGGAGAGGGUGGAGCUGCAGAUCAGCCUGAAGAACUACGACCCUCAGAAGGACAAACGCUUCUCGGGCACCGUCAGGCUUAUGUCCACCCCUCGCCCCAAGUUCUCCGUGUGCGUCCUGGGGGACCAGCAGCACUGUGAUGAAGCCAAGGCCGUGGACAUCCCCCACAUGGACAUCGAGGCGCUCAAGAAGCUUAACAAGAACAAGAAGUUGGUCAAAAAGCUGGCCAAGGAGUAUGAUGCCUUUUUGGCCUCCGAGUCUCUGAUCAAGCAAAUCCCACGUAUCCUGGGCCCAGGCCUAAACAAGGCGGGCAAGUUCCCCUCCCUGCUGACACACAAUGAAAACAUGGUGGCGAAAGUGGAUGAGGUGAAAUCCACAAUCAAGUUCCAGAUGAAGAAGGUGCUGUGUCUGGCCGUUGCCGUCGGCCACGUGAAGAUGACCGAUGAUGAGCUGGUCUACAACAUCACCUGGCUGUCAACUUCUUGGUGUCUUUACUCAAGAAAAACUGGCAGAACAUCCGGGCUCUGUACAUCAAGAGCACCAGGGGCAAGCCCCAGCGUCUGUAUUAGGAUGCUCCAAUAAACCUCGGUGCUGCCAUCAAAAAAAAAAAAAAAAAAAAGGAAAACAUUUCGGGGUUGGGGAUUUAGCUCAGUGGUAGAGCGCUUGCCUAGGAAGCACAAGGCCCUGGGUUCAGUCCCCAGUUCCAAAAAAAAGAACCAAAAAAGGAAAACAUUUCACUGGGGCUGGGAUACAGAUUCAGAGGUUUAGUGCAAUUGAUAUAGUGAAAAGCACAGUGCAUGCUGGCAGAUAUGAUGUUGGAGAAAGAGCUGAGAGGUCUACAUUUUGAUCCUCAGGCAGCAAAAGGAGACUGAGAUACACUGGCCAGACUUGACUUUCUAAGACCUCAAAGCCCACCCCCACCAUGACACACUUCCUCCAACAAGGGCACACCUCCUAAUUGUACCACUUCCUGUGGACCAAACAUUCACAUACAUGAGUCUGUGGGGGCCAUUCCUAUUCAAACCGCCACAGACUCUGAUUUUAAAAAAUGCUAUGAAAUAAACUGGUUAAAACAGUGAGGAAGACGUGCACUAGAAAAUGGCUCAGAGGGCAAAGGCUGCUGCAGCCCUUGCAGAGGACCCAGGUUCUGGGGUCCAGUACCCACAUUAUGCAGCUCAAAACAACCUAUGACUCCAGCUAUAGGGGGACAUGAUACCUCUGGCCUCCAUGGGCACCAGCACUGUGGGCAUACACACACAGAGAGAGAGAGAGAGAGAGAGAGAGAGAGAGAGAGAGAGAGAGAGAGAGAGAGAAACUCAUAGUUAAAAAAAAAUAAGAAUGAGGGGUUGGGAUUUAGCUCAGUGGUAGAGCGCUUGCCUAGCAAGCACAAGGCCCUGGGUUCAGUCCUCAGCUCUGAAAAAAAAAAAGAAUGACCAGAAAUGUUAACACAUGUCUUUAGUCUCAGUACUCAGGAGGCAAAGGCAGGAAGGUCUCUGUGAGUUGGAAGACCAUCCUGGUCUGCAUAGCAAGCUCUAGGACAGCUGGUUACAUAAAGAAACCCUGUCUCGGGCUGGAGAGAUGGCUCAGCGGUUAAGAACACGGACUGCUCUUCCAGAGGUUCUGAGUUCAAAGCCCAGCAACCACAUGGUGGCUCACGACCAUCUGUAAUGGAAUCUGAUGCCCUCCUCUGGUGUGUCUGAAGAUAGCUACAGUGUACUCACAUAUAAUAAAUAAAUAAAUCUUUAAAAAAAAAAAAAAAGAAAAAGAAACCCUGUCUCAAAAAUAAGAUAGGUAAGUAGGUAGAUAGAUAGACAGACAGACAGACAGAUAGACAUUUUUAAAACAUAAAAAGCAGGUAACUCAGUGGUUAAAGGCACCUUCAGCCAAGCCUGAUGACCUGAGUUUAAUUGCUAGGACCCACAUAAAAGAAGUGAUAGGAUUUUUCCACCGAUGAUAUAAGCCAAUUCAAGCCAAACUAAAAUAUAAAGGCAGAUUUCUCAGGAGGGUUCACAUGUCCCAAGGAUGGGUCAGGGAAGUUGCCAUGCAGACAGAGAAAUGGGGGAGACUCUGGGGAACCGCUGGACUGGAAAGUCCAGGGAGGAGGUCAGGAUAUGCCAGGCGUGCCGUUACAGGUAGGGACCGAGGGAUGCUGGGAGAACUUUGAGGCCAGGUCUUCUUUGGUAUACAAAAUAUGCACCUCAACUGGCUUGUCCCUUCCUGUUGGGUCUAACCUCUGACCCCCACAUGUAUUGUUAGAUGUGUGCAAUGGUGCAUCCACACACAAAUGCAUGAAUAAAAUGUGACAAAUGCAAUAAAAGUGUAAAAGAAAAACAACCCCAAAAUACAGUGAAGUACAGUUUCAUGAUUAAACAGGCGAAUGCAGCACACACUAAAAUCUAGAAAGAGAACUAAAUAAGUAGGAUUUAGUGGAUACUAAGGAUGUUAUUUUAAAAAAUGAGUUGGCAGAAGCUACUGAUCCCUCUGGUUGAAUUAGGGAAAAGCUGGAGGAAGCUGAGGAGGAGGGCAACCCUGUAGGAGGACCAGCAGUCUCAAUUAACCUGGACUCCCGAGAUCUCUCAGACACUGAGUCACCAACCAGGCAGCAUUCACGAGCGAGAUGAGGCUCCCA